GGAAAGGCGCGCGAUACAGGGUGACAGCCCCGUACACAAAAAUGCACAUGCUGUGAGCUCGAUGAGUAGGGCGGGACACGUGGUAUCCUGUCUGAAUAUGGGGGGACCAUCCUCCAAGGCUAAAUACUCCUGACUGACCGAUAGUGAACCAGUACCGUGAGGGAAAGGCGAAAAGAACCCCGGCGAGGGGAGUGAAAAAGAACCUGAAACCGUGUACGUACAAGCAGUGGGAGCACGCUUAGGCGUGUGACUGCGUACCUUUUGUAUAAUGGGUCAGCGACUUAUAUUCUGUAGCAAGGUUAACCGAAUAGGGGAGCCGAAGGGAAACCGAGUCUUAACUGGGCGUUAAGUUGCAGGGUAUAGACCCGAAACCCGGUGAUCUAGCCAUGGGCAGGUUGAAGGUUGGGUAACACUAACUGGAGGACCGAACCGACUAAUGUUGAAAAAUUAGCGGAUGACUUGUGGCUGGGGGUGAAAGGCCAAUCAAACCGGGAGAUAGCUGGUUCUCCCCGAAAGCUAUUUAGGUAGCGCCUCGUGAAUUCAUCUCCGGGGGUAGAGCACUGUUUCGGCAAGGGGGUCAUCCCGACUUACCAACCCGAUGCAAACUGCGAAUACCGGAGAAUGUUAUCACGGGAGACACACGGCGGGUGCUAACGUCCGUCGUGAAGAGGGAAACAACCCAGACCGCCAGCUAAGGUCCCAAAGUCAUGGUUAAGUGGGAAACGAUGUGGGAAGGCCCAGACAGCCAGGAUGUUGGCUUAGAAGCAGCCAUCAUUUAAAGAAAGCGUAAUAGCUCACUGGUCGAGUCGGCCUGCGCGGAAGAUGUAACGGGGCUAAACCAUGCACCGAAGCUGCGGCAGCGACGCUGAUGCGUUGUUGGGUAGGGGAGCGUUCUGUAAGCCUGCGAAGGUGUGCUGUGAGGCAUGCUGGAGGUAUCAGAAGUGCGAAUGCUGACAUAAGUAACGAUAAAGCGGGUGAAAAGCCCGCUCGCCGGAAGACCAAGGGUUCCUGUCCAACGUUAAUCGGGGCAGGGUGAGUCGACCCCUAAGGCGAGGCCGAAAGGCGUAGUCGAUGGGAAACAGGUUAAUAUUCCUGUACUUGGUGUUACUGCGAAGGGGGGACGGA
rnacentral:rRNA from 1 species